rnacentral:rRNA from 1 species
UACAGAGGGGGCAAGCGUUGUUCGGAAUUACUGGGCGUAAAGAGCGCGCAGGCGGUCAGAUAAGUCGAAUGUGAAAGCCCCCGGCUCAACUGGGGAGGGUCAUUUGAUACUGUUCGACUCGAAGGCAGGAGAGGGAAGCGGAAUUCCCGGUGUAGUGGUGAAAUGCGUAGAUAUCGGGAGGAACACCAGUGGCGAAGGCGGCUUCCUGGCCUGUUCUUGACGCUGAGGCGCGAAAGCUAGGGGAGCAAACGGG